rnacentral:pre_miRNA from 1 species
UGUUAUGGAUUAGCAAAGAAAGUAGUUUUUUGAGAUGGAAACUACUCCUGGUGAAGAUGCUGUGAA